rnacentral:rRNA from 1 species
GAUGAACGCUGGCGGCGUGCCUAAUACAUGCAAGUCGAGCGAACAGAUGAGGAGCUUGCUCCUCUGACGUUAGCGGCGGACGGGUGAGUAACACGUGGAUAACCUACCUAUAAGACUGGGAUAACUUCGGGAAACCGGAGCUAAUACCGGAUAAUAUAUUGAACCGCAUGGUUCAAUAGUGAAAGACGGUUUUGCUGUCACUUAUAGAUGGAUCCGCGCCGCAUUAGCUAGUUGGUAAGGUAACGGCUUACCAAGGCAACGAUGCGUAGCCGACCUGAGAGGGUGGUCCGCCACAACGGAACUGAGACCCGGUCCAGACUCCCAAGGGAGGCAGCAGUAGGGAAUCUUCCGCAAUGGGCGAAAGCUUGACGGAGCAACGCCGCGUGAGUGAUGAAGGUCUUCGGAUCGUAAAACUCUGUUAUUAGGGAAGAAAAAAUGUGUAAGUAACUAUGCACGUCUUGACGGUACCUAAUCAGAAAGCCACGGCUAACUACGUG